AAACUAUAGUUAAGGAACUCGGCAAAUUAGCCCCGUAAGUUCGCGAGAAGGGGUGCCUAGGGCAACCUAGGCCGCAGUGAAGAGACACCGGCAACUGUUUAUCAAAAACACAGCUCUAUGCAAAGGCGCAAGCCGAAGUAUAUGGGGCGACGCCUGCCCAGUGCUCCAAGGUUAAGAGGAGGGGUUAGCCAGUAGUAAGAUACUGGUGAAGCUCUGAAUUGAAGCCCGAGUGAACGGCGGCCGUAACUAUAACGGUCCAAAGGUAGCGAAACUCCUUGUCAGGUAAGUUCUGACCCGCAUGAAAGGCGUAAUGACUGGUGUACUGUCUCAACUAUAGACUCGGUGAAAUCUUAGUACCGGUGAAGAUGCCGGUUACCCGCAACUAGACGGAAAGACCCCGUGGAGCUUUACUGCAGCUUGAUAUUGGGUUUUUUUCUGGUUUGUGUAGGCUAGGUGGGAGACUUUGAAGCUGACUUCUCAACAGGUCAGUGGAGUCGCAAGGUGAAAGACCACUCUAAUCAGCAGAAGAUUCUAACUUAUUGGUUUACAGCCAAAAGGACAGUGUUUGGUGGGUAGUUUGACUGGGGCGGUCGCCUCCUAAAAAGUAACGGAGGUGUUCAUAAGGUAUCCUCAGUAGGUAUAGAAAUCCUAUGUAGGGCGUAAAGGUAUAAGGAUGCUUAACUGUGAGACUUACAAGUCGAACAGAUACGGAAGUAGGACUUAGUGAUCCGGCGGUUACCUAGUGGUAGGGCCGUCGCUAAACGGACAAAAGUUACCCCGGGGAUAACAGGCUAAUACUUCCCAAGAGAUCACAUCGACGGAAGUGUUUGGCACCUCGAUGUCGACUCAUCGCAUCCUGGAGGUGAAGAAGCUUCCAAGGGUUGGGCUGUUCGCCCAUUAAAGCGGUACGUGAGUUGGGUUUAGAACGUCGUGAGACAGUUUGGUCCCUAUCUGUUGUGGGCGUAGGAAAUUUGCGGAGAUCUGCUCUUAGUACGCAAGGACCAGAGUGGACUAACCAAUGGUGUACCAGUUGUCCUGUCAAGGGCACGGCUGGCUAGCUACGUCAGGUCUAGAUAAGCACUGAAAGCAUCUAAGUGCGAAGCUAACUUCAAGAUAAGAUUUCCCAUCCCGUGAGGGAGUAAGAUACCUUCUAGACCAGGAGGUUGAUAGGUGAAAAAUGUAAGUAUAGUAAUAUAUUGAGUUAAUUCAUACUAAUUUAUCGAGGACUU
rnacentral:rRNA from 1 species